rfam:Xenopus laevis clone CH219-90F9, complete sequence.
AGUGCUCUGCACCUGACCCCAGAUCUCCAUCAGAAUGCAGAAAAGAUUUUAUAAAAAAAAAGAAAACAAGAAGUUUGAAUUCCUGAAUGAUUUUUUUCUGCAGAUAGGGGCUUAGGAUAAUGAUUUGUGCUUUAUUGGGGCAGAUUAGUCACAGUGUCACUACUGUCUCUCAAUGUGCCCUGUACAUGUCUCUUCAAUGUGC